AUGAAUGAGAGGCUGCUGAAGAAGACUUACUCCAAGAAGAACAAAAUGAUCAAACCUUUGGCUCUUCAUCCAGUCAAAGUUGGCGAGGACGAGACUGAACUCAGUCGACCACACAGGAGCAACUCCAAAGAGCAGCUCAGUGAGAGUUCCACUCACUCGCUGUCAGGCCGCGGCUACUCGUGUGACAGCGAGAGUGACAUUGACGACAAGGUAAGACUGCUUUUCCUGUGUUUAUUCACCCAGCGCAUGAAGAAUCGGAGAGUUGUGAAUAACAAAUUUGAGCUCUCAACUGAGAAAGGGGAGAUAGUCGUAGUGUAUUGUUAGUGAAAAAAAGAUAAGGGGGUAAAAAGCAACUGUGCCUGGUCCCAACACUGUUGAUCAUUUGAAUCGUACGGAGCAUAAAAGUGACAAGAAAAAUGUUGCACAUCAAGAGACUGAUUUUCAAUGUUGGUUUUCUGUUUUUCAUGAAAAGACGCGGCACCUAUUAUUUUUGGAACGCUUUAUGCACAAAUAUUUCAUACAUAUGCCUCCUAGCUUAGAUCGUAGUGUGUGCUACAUGCAGUAAAAUCUGCAUUUAAUCUAUUCACAUCGCACAUAACACCUUUAUCUGCUUGCUCUUCUAAGAUACUCGACAGCAGCCUGAGUUUGUCACGCUUGUGUUUUAUUUCCAGCAUAACGAAUGACAGAUUUACAAGUUACAACCAGGAUGUUUAACAAGUUUGUUCAACAAUUUCAUUUAAAAUAUGCUUUAGUUGUGCUGCUAACUAGUAACACUUUCAUUUUCUUCAAAGUCUGAAACACAAAACCUAGGAAUAUUUAAAAAAUUGCAUAUAAUUUUUGCAGCGUUGUCAUCAGGUUAGCAGUUGACAGUUUGACAGAUGUAGUCUAUCAGUUUCACCUCUGAGUGUUUGUAAUCAUCUCAGAGGUGGUUGGCUGAUGGCAGGCACCUGGUUACAAGAUGAAACGCCUUUGGGGAACCUUACGCAUCCUAAUUCCUCCACAGUUUAGCAAUUACUCCCUGGUAAAUGAAUGAGAUAGCAUGCCUAAUCUCCUGUAAGCUUAGCUCCCAGUUCUGUGGAAAUGUCUGCAGCUCUCCCUAUAAAUAAUACAUUGAUAGCAAGCCCAAUUUGCAUUAACUGUAGCCUGGCAAGUCAAUAGGCUUUUAUCUCUUCAUUGAAGCGAGAAGGAACCGAGGGCACGAGCUAGUUGACACGACAGAGAGAUGUAGCGGGCCUGUCAGUCUCCAUACGGCUCCCUGGCAACACUGUGGGUGGAGGAGAGAGGGAAGUAAAGUAGAUGGGAAGCUCUCAGAGUGUUUCCUUCUGAGGGUUUUUGUUUCCUCUUGUCCUCUCGUUUUAAUUUUCAGUAAAAAAAAAAAAAAGUUUGGUACGAACUAAACAUAAAGAUGGGGAGGAGAGAAAUCAAGAAGCGCUUUGACAGUUUUGCAGAAACUCAGCUGUGUUUCUGUGUUGUUGGUUAUGUGUCAGCCUGUCUGUGGACUGGGACGCCAUUCAAGACAUGGGAGACUGUUAGACACUGCUGCCAAGUCUGAUUGUUGAAUUUCGUGCCAAUUAUUUCACAGUCCAAGAGCCAGAUUGUAGCUUCACCUUCUUCUCAGACUAUUUUUCAUUAGUGUGUCAUCAGGAAGUGUUUUAGCUAGAGAAAUCUCUGGAAAAAAUAGUAAUGCCACUUUUAGCGCACUAUGUUUCUCACAGUGCGCUCUCACUGUGAGAAACAUAGUCAGUGCAUAUUUCUGUAGAUGUAAGUGCAAAAAGACAUCUUCCUGAACAAUCAAUGUGAAUCCUAAACCAUAAGCAGCAAAGUAAUACUGCAAGUGAAAACAACUUGUGAAAGUUACUAUUAGUCAAACUAUCUAGGCUUCAGUGUGGUCCCUAUCUUGUUUUUGUCUGUCUCAAUUCUUAGUUUCCAUUCUCAGUUCUAAGUUUUUUAAGUACAAGUGCAUAGUUUCAUGUUUUGUCAAGUCUAUAUUAAAGCAAUACUGACUUGCCCAUAUGUACAGUGAAAGAGUAGUCAGUGUUAUUAUUCAUCUUGUUCACACACUGAAGUUGACUCAUCUUAGUGGUAGUGAUAGGGAGCAAUAUUCACACGCUUGUUGUUUUCAAGUAGAAUAAAACUAAUUGUAAAGUUCAGAUUAAACUAAUGUGCAUUUUUACACAUAACAAGAGCUUUAUAAAAGUAAUAAAACAACAUUUUAAACAUAAAGAUAGUUUUUAAUACUUGGAUGAAAACACUUUGGAGUCAAUGAAUACCUGAAGUCUACGACCCGCUAAUAUCACCAAAUGAUUCAUUUUCCUCUCUGGAGAGCCUCUGCCAGGCCUUUACUGCAGCCACCUUCAGUUGCUGCUUGUUUAUAGGUCUCUGCAUUCACUUUUGUUUGCAGUAAUCCAAAACUUGGCUUUUCUUUUCUGUUUUUUUGCUGCCAGCUAAUAUUAUCUUGACAUCAGCAAGCAACAUAUGGUAGGAAUGCAGCACUGGAACACAAGACCCUACAAUGUAUGCAUACACUGCCAGUCCACAGUUAAUUGUGGACUGGCUAGUCACACAGGACUAUACUCAAAAAAUGAUCAUCUAACUACCUUGUUGAAAAAUGAAACUAAAAAAUAAUAAUAAUAACAAUUUUUAUUAGAUAAGUAAAAAUGGGGGCCCCAAAAAUAGGCGUUAAAGUGUUCUGUUCUUCCAAUAGUGGUAAAGUUCCAUUCCCACAAGCAGAGGUAUUGACUGUAAACAAAAGAUUUCUCCUAAAGCCAACAGGAAAUGUAACAGAGCAACGGCAUAAUUCCAAAACUACGUUUCGCUCUUUCACUGUUGUGGAUUCUUUGAAAAGUCUCUGUUGGUGUUGACGUGUUUUCCAAGCGUGCAAGAAGAAAAGAACAUCUGGAUAAAGGCUAUAGCAGCCCUGCCCUUUUUAUUCCCUCAGAAACACGUAUUACCAUAAUCAAGGUGAUGAGAGUUGCGAAUCAUCCAUAUCAAAUUGCAGAGGAAGGGAGAAGAAUGGGGAAAAAAUAAUUUGACAGGCCAUCACCAAAAGCAGGAAAAAAAUAUGACGGUGUAAAAAUUGGGUUCCAUGAGGAGAAAGACAAACACUGUCAUUUGUAAUUGCCUGCACUCAGGAUAACUCGACAGUGAUAAUUUUCUGCAACGUUUUGCUAAAACAGGUGCCAGCUCCUCCCGAAUCUUUCCAGUGAAAACAAAGGCUCCUUUCACAUCAGAUUACCAGCCACCUGAACACCCACAUUGUCGGGAUUUCACAGAUUAACUUAAUUAGAAUAUUGCUUCCAGGUGUGCCCCCAGGGUGCAAUCAGUUACACUGUAUUUAAAUAACACUGACGAGUUGCUACAGCAAAGUCAGUUUAGAUUGCUGCACCUUGUGAAACUCGCUUGCAUCAAAGCAAUGCUUUGAUAUAGCACCCGAUGGUGUGUUUCCAGAGCAUGUCAGAUUUGAAAUCUUUAGCAAUUGCCCAGUCGCUUCUAGUUAAGUGCGAGGGUGCCCUAAGAGAUAGCUUCAUAUAGAUGGGCCUGCCUUGAUGAAACGGGGAAUCAGAAUCUUGGUAUAGUGUUCACAUUGUUACCAGUGUUUGUUGAGAGGCCUGUCAUCUGAUGUCCAGUAUUAUGUCAUGUUUGACAAUGAGAAGUAUUCAGUGUAAUUUUUUAACAUAUACCCUUGAUAUUGGCUUGUCUUAUGUCUGCACCCCGGAGGCAUAAAACAACCCACAUAAUUAGGAAUUCUUAAGUAGAACAGUCUUUUCACUGUGUUUACUGUCAUUAAAGCAACGGUUAAUGUGUUUGCACAAAGCUAUGCUAAAUUUGAAGCUUGCAAAGAAAGUAACCACAGCUUAAAUAAGAAACAGCAUAGCAACACAGACACUAAAUGUAUUCACGUGAGACUGUGCUGCACACAUGGGAACAUCAUUCACUGUUAAGUCUGGAUCUAAAUACUUUGAGCUAGUAAAAUGCUCUCAUAUGCCCCAGAACACAUCGUAGCUCUACAGAAAGUGGGCUGAGUGAUUGGUUGUGCUUGUAGAAUGGGAAAAUUAGUGUGCAGUCACAAGGUCAAUGUUGGGUGAAAUUGUAUAAAGAGUUUCAAAUCAAUUUUAUUUUUA
ensembl:lncRNA